GCCAGUGAGCCAGCGACAGUGGUUCCCUCACAGCGGUGGUGAUAACAGUCCCUCCGCCACAACCACCGCCACCACCAUCACUUUCCCUACCUGGACUCUUCUUACAGCAGGGCGGCGGCCACAGUGGUUCCAUCGCAGCGGUGGUGAUAACAUUCCCUCCACCACAACCACCGCCACCACCAUCACUUUCCCUGCCUGGACUCUCCUCUUACGCCAGGAGCUCGUUGUGGUUGUGAUAAUAACAUCCACACUGAAAUUCCUGCUCACUCAGAGGUACUCGGGGGCAGAUUAGUUUUCCCCUUGAACGCUGACUGCCACUCUCAACCACGGCCCUCUUCAAGACAUCGCGGGCGUUGGAGAUUACUAAAAAGACGCCCAUGAAGCAAACCUCAAGCUCCUGCCCUCACGCCGGCCAGGCCACACGUCAGGAGCCUCUAGUCACAGGAAACACGUGGACCGCGAACUCAAAACUCGCGCCCCCUCGCUUGUGUCCUGGAGUUUGCGUCGAUUAGAGGAGCGACGAGCUAGUCAGGAGCUUCGCUCCCCGCGUCAUAAGGUCUCAUCGUGUGCCUUGCUUCCCUCUCCGUCCCGUCCCGUCCCGUCCCGUCCCGUCCUGUCCCUUCCACACCUCCACCUGCCUGCCUGCCGCCCCCGGACACCGCCGUCGUCACCCGUCAAUGCAGCCUCCAGCGACGCACUCGUAACAUGACGUGCGGGAGCCAGGCCGCCAUGGGUCAGGCAGCACAUCUGGCGCUGCUGCUGCUGCUGCUGGCGCCCUGGGCCGCCAUUGCCCACGCUCCGCAGCCGCCGCCCCCCGCGGGCCGGUGGGGCGCCGUGCGGGACGCCCCCUACCACGAGGCUCUGCCGGGGCCGCAGCGCCGCAACGCCAGGACUCUAGACCUUCAGGACCUCGCACUGCCGCUCACACCGUCCACCUCACUCACGCCGCCGCCGCCAUCACCGCCACCAUCCUCCCUCUCGCCGCCGCCGCCGUCUGCUGCCCCCCGCCGCCGCCCCUCGGAGCUAGUCUUACAACGCGACAUCACGCCCACGGUUGUAGACGACUGGGCAGAGGACCUAGAUGCCACCAGCGAGGAGGAGGACCUUGGCUUUAUUCCUCCCUCCCUGCACCGAGGCCUCACGCCCGUGUCCCUGCCCGACCUCUCGGACGACCCCUUCUACCAGACCUCCAAGGUGGACGCCAUCAUCGAGCAGCUCAACCAGACGCGCAUCGCCCUCACCGGCGGCGACGAGCAGGCGACCAUCUCCCCGCAGGAGUACAACAGCAUACUGACGCGGUUCAGCCUUGACGCCCUGCAAGCCACGCAGAUAGCGGAGCGGCUGGGGCUAGCGGGGUCGGGCGUGGCGCAACUGGAGGCUGACCUGAGGCUUGGCGGCGAUCUUCAGGGCCCCGGCGGACCUGAGGAUCGACCCAAGGCCCUCCCGCUGGGUCGCAACACUCGCACCACGGCUCCACACAGGGGGGCGCCGCCGCCAUCCUCCGGGCUCUCAGUUGCCACCAGACGGAUCUUCUUGGGCGACCCGACGCUGUGCUACACGGGCACCUGCGAGUUCUUCCUCAUGUGCUGGCUCGGCGGCGGCCUCAUAGACGGGGGCUGCGGCGGCUUCCUCUUUGCCUGCUGCUCGAGACCCAACCAGCGGGGACAGCGAGGACACCAGACGUACCGAGACGACAGCAUCGGCCUCAUCCCCGUCGACUACGGACCCAUCAGGAACGACCAAGGCUGCGGUCUCAGUGUCAGCAGUCGCCUCACCGCCCAGCGAAGGAUCGUGGGCGGGACGGAGGCUGGCUUUGGCUCCUUUCCGUGGCAGGCCUACAUCCAGAUCGGGACGAGUCGCUGUGGCGGGUCCCUCAUCAACGAGUACCACGUGGUCACCGCCGGGCACUGCGUCGCCAGGGCACGGCCUCACCAGAUUCGUGUCACCCUCGGCGACUACGUGCUCAACUCUGAACGCGAGCCUCUCCACCCUCUCGUGUUCGGCGCUACAGACAUCAAAGUUCACCCGAAUUUUAAGUUCACGCCCCAAGCUGACCGAUACGACGUUGCAGUGAUCACCCUCGACCAACCCGUCCACUACCAGCCUCACGUCCAGCCGAUCUGCCUCCCCGAGAAGGGCACGGACUGGCUUGGCAGCUACGGGUGGGCGGCUGGCUGGGGCGCCCUGCAGUCUGGCUCACGGCUCCGUCCCAAGACCUUGCAGGUGGUGGACGUGCCCAUCCUCGACUCGCGGCUGUGCGAGGACUGGCACCGGCAGAAAGGCAUCAACGUUAUAAUCUACGACGAGAUGAUGUGUGCCGGGUACAGUGACGGGGGCAAGGACUCCUGCCAGGGCGACUCCGGCGGGCCGCUCAUGAUACAGGAGAGCGGCCGAUGGUUCCUGGCUGGCAUCGUCUCGGCGGGCUACUCCUGCGCCCAGAACAAGCAGCCAGGUAUCUACCACAAGGUGUCGUACACGUCUGACUGGAUAUCGUGGGCUGCCAGCACCUGAGCGGCAGCCUUGACGCUCACGGCCCAGAACAAACAAGUGGCUGAUCACGUUACAGGCGCUGAAUGGCCGCUAGGAAUGAAAAAAGAAAGAAGACAAGACUAAGCGAGUGGCUGAUCACGACUGGGUGCUGAAUGGCCGCCUGGAAUGAAAAAUAAAGAAGGGAGAGACGAAUAUACAAUUGGUUGAUCAUGGCUGGGUACUGAUUGGCCGCUAGGAAUGAAAACAAGAAGAUAGAGAAGAAUACACAAGUGGCUGAUUAUGCCUGAGCUCUGAAUGGCCGCUUGAAGUGUUCGCAAGUGGAAAAUAUGAAGGAAAACAAGAAUAUCAUGGUUGAAUGCUUCGUGUGUAAGGACAGACAAGUGGCUCGUCACGGCUGGACGCUGACUGGCCGCUGCGAGUGUCAUUUUCCUAAUACUGUGAUAAUGUCUAAUCUUAUCGUGAUUAUUGCAGGCAUGGGUGCAUGAUCGUUAAUUUGACUCAGAUACUACAGUUAAGACAUGUAUCAAAGCAUUACCAAACAUUUCGUCUGAUAUAUGGAAGGGUUAAGAUUUUAGCCCAACAUGUUAUACGCUGGCGAGGUCCAUGCAGCGAGCCUCCGGAAAAUAGCCGCGGCACUUCACUACAUAGCUGUUGUUCUUGUGAAACUCUCGACAGUGAUGGUGACAAGUGACGCGGGUGGCAGUGGCGGUGGUGGCGAAACUUUCCGUGGGACAUUUUCUGUACAGUGUGAGAGGUGUCUUGGCACAGCAUUCUCACUACGCCUCUCCACCUGACUGACGCAAGAGCGAGUCCCGGUGACUACGGUUGGGCAACGCCCCUAAAGUGAUAACAACCCUCCCAACCAGUGUGUCCAUAACCACCACCUCGGGUUCCUUACGCUAGCCAGUAACUCCGCUGUCUGGAACAAUCGCUGACCACCAUAACCAACUCUCAGGUUGACGUCUACCAAGUGUUGUUGUUGCUUUGUUUGGCCUGGCCUAACCACCCCCUCAAACGUUAAAGAAUUAGCCCCAUGAAAACACCCAACAACAACAAACGUUAAAGAAGAAGGACACAGACAUCACCCGCCUGAGCAUGGGUCACAGACGCCUCAACGCCCACCACAGCAACUCACCAUGGCUCGGCCCCACACUGGCCAUGGUGCCCCACACACCAGAACACUUCCUGCUUCGCUGCCCAAGACGCCUCUCCCUCCGCACCAGGCUCAAAGCAUCCCUUGCCAGGCACAGCAUCCACAAGCCAACGCCAGAGGACUGCUGGGCGGCGACACCCUCAGCCCCAACACUGCCCUCCACGCCCUCAAGUGUACACAGACCUUCCUGCAGAAGUCCCGGUAACUCGACGGGCUGAGGGGCACAUCUACACAUCAACAACAGUCAUGCACACACACAUUGCUAUCCAGACUGGCAACACAUUAAAAUGGCAUUACAUCCAUCACAAGAGGAUGAUUGGCCACUUGAGUCAUUGCUGCUGCUGAUCAGUGUCUACAAAGAACACGUCCAUCUGUUUAAUAGAUAUUUAGAUAUGGAUGGAUAUGAGCCAUGUGACAAGAGCUAGCCAGAGUGGCCCUUCUUCCCCAGUGUGGACGACCCUAUGGCCGGCAGUCCAAUUGUGUGUCCCCCCUGCAUAAUGUCUACAUUUCCUGGAGAGGUGGUGCAACAGAAUCCUGCAAAGCAAAAGAAGACUUCACACAUGUUUGAGACCAACAACCCGUCAUCCACCCCUUGUGAACGAGAAGCACAGCUGGAACCCAACCAUGAACAAAACCCAUCUGUGUCACCACCCAGCCAUCACCCAGGCCCACCAGAGCCCUAUCCCACCCAUGAGCCCAUCCCUAGCAGCACAACAGGGAAUGAAAAUAUUAAUGUGUCACUAGCUUUAAAAUUCUAGGGAAGAAAAGUGUGAAUAUAAGCCACUCCAUUGGUUUCAAGCAUUCUUAAAGAAACAAAGGGAGAGGAUAGACACACAUUGAGCUACAGAAAAUAUUGCUGCAAGAAGCUAGAGUGAAAAACAGAUUCUGAGAAGGCUUACUGGAUCUCUUGGAUCCUCAAAGGGGUAGCCAGCAGUUAGUGUUUAACUCCAUAGCUACCUUAAAAUACAGCAAGUGGUGGGCACGGUUCCUUUAACCACUAAUUAAUGAAGCAAACUUAGCAUUUCUGUUAAUGUUGGAAAGUGUUAGUGGAUCAAUAUCUUCUACUAUAUUUAGUUUUGCUAACUGAAAUUCACUAACAAAACUCAUACAUAUUUAUUCCUGUCAGCUGUGUGUGUGUCCCCAACAGUCAGUCAGGCACGCUAUUGGCUGACUACAUGCAAAUGUGACAGAACAUGAUAGGUCAAGGCAGCAACAGCUGAGCAGAAUUUUGUAUUAUGCACUUUUGAGUUCAGUUCCCUUAAGACGUCAUAAUGUAGUCUUACAGUGUCUGCAACAGCAGCAUACGUUAGCGCUUAUCAUUGUGGAAACUGAAAGAUAUUUUUGUUCCACUUAGGUUAUUGGGCCUGUUGAGGAGCCUGUAUCAACUGUGGGUAAGGCAGAGGUUUCUCAGACUGAGGAGAGUGAGGGCCAGGAGUCUCAGAAUCUGUGUCCCUGCCUGGAAGACUACUUUGUCAUUAAGUCAAGGGAUUAGAGGAACACUAACCUCUUGCACUGACAGUGCAUCAUGUAUGUACCAGCCCAAGGAGACCAACAUUAAGAGACAGGCAGCAAUCCUUGCACGGGAAGCUGUAGCAUUAGCUUUUCUAAAUUUUUUGGAGAGUUCGUAGUUUAGUGUUAGCAAGGAUAACUUUUUAGUUAUUGGAUUACCAGGUAGCAAAGAUGAGCUUUCAGUUAGUUGUGCCCACCACUGGUUACGGCAGACUCACUGAAUGGUUUGGAGGGAGGAGAAUGGAGAAAAUGAAUGCAUCUUGUCUGCGAGACAAACAUAAGGAAAGGCAUUGAAGAUUACAUGAUAUCCUUUUAGAAAUUGAUGAGGAAAUUCAUCAAUUCAGAAUUCAGUUUUUCACUCUAGCUUCUUGCAACAAUAUUUUCUGUAGCUCAAUGUGUGUCCAUCCUCUCCCUUUUGUUUCUGUUAGCUACUGAAAGACGGCACAAUAUUAUGGAGGCACAUUUUCAGCAUGGAAGGGGCAGGAGAACAGUUACUAAUGCAGGAGGUCAUUAGGCAGAGUAUGGGAGUGAGUGUAUGCCAUUAUGGGCUGGAUGUUGUGAAGUAACCCAAGAAUCUGUCAAAUCAUGAAGUUUCACACAGCACUAAAGACUGUAUUGUUAAUCAAGAGGCAUUAGGCCUCAGUAAAGUUAUUAAUAAGGCUUUAUAAAUUAUAAAGCUUGCUAUAUGAUUAAGAACUGUAUAGCACGGGUCAAGAACUUUAAGGUAAUGUGCCUUUGAUAUAGUUUCUCAUCACAAACACAUGUUGAACAGCUCAAGGCUGCCUAUAUACUGCCAGCUGCUGUUGUAACUUGAAGCUUUGUAUUAGCAGUGAGGUGGGCAGUUUGGACCAGUGACUGUUGCUUCAUCUGCUUCAUGAACCUUGUGACCACUGGACAGGCGAGCAAUAAAAAUGACCACAAAGUGA